GGUCAAAGGCUUCUGAGUCUCUGGGGCUUUUCUCUGGCUUGGGCCCCUUAAUCUAGAGUUCAAGGCCAUCAGGCGUUCAAGGAGGCCAAACCUCAAGGCAGGCGCCCAACUGGAGAUUCUGUGCCCAGGGUCGAGCUGAGACUGCUCCUUGCCCCUCGAAGCUCCCCACUUCCCGGCGGGAGGAGAACAAGGUCUUGUGGCCUUUUAUGCUGGCGGUCAGCUGAGCUGCAAGGCUCCUGUGAGCAGAAGCCAGACUUUUCUGUGUUCCCCUAAAUGCCAGAAGAUUGGGGGUACCCUCUUUGGGAUUGCUGGUGCAUCUGCAGAAUUGCCCAAUUCUCCAGGAGUAUGGAGUAUAUUUAUUUAUUAGGGACUGGAGAGAUGGCUCCGUGGUUAAGAGCACUGACUGCUCUUCCAGAGGACCCAGGUUCAACUCCCAGCACCCACAUGACAGCUCGCAACUCUCUGACUCCGGUUCCAAAGGCACCCUCACACAGACAUCCAGGCAA